rnacentral:lncRNA from 1 species
AUUCUCAAUAUCAGGCAAGUUGAAAAAGACAUUAAUAGCAUGUCCACUGAAAGCUACUUGUUUUCCUCUCACAAAAACCUUUUGGUGAUGAUGUUCAGGCACAUUGACAUAAAAUUCUCUAACAACUGGGAUGAUAGAAGCUAGAGGUUGAGCACAAAAAUCAUCCUAUUUUCUCUUCCUAAUAUUAGCAGUGAUGCUUGGCCAAUUUAUUUCAGUUGCACACAAACCCCUCUCAGCUAUCCGGUUUUGGUUUGAAACAGAGUCAUAAUAUCUAUUCUGGGCAUUUUCACUAACAAAUUUGGUUUUAUCAAAUUUUAUCACACCUUUGCCCUUCCUUUUCUUGCUACCCGAUGCAUUCAUAUUCAACAAAAUCUUCAAUCCAGUAACAAAUCACAGAAACGAAAAUCAAAGGUACAAAUCCUUACCAAAUUGCAGCAAAAAGGUAGAAACAAUCACCCCAAAUCGUGACCCAACAAGAAGACGGACUGGAUCUACGAUUUCCUUUCCAAAAUUACACC